rnacentral:lncRNA from 1 species
AUACUCAGAAGCUGGCCCUACUGCAUCAGCCUAAUCAAGUUUUACCCCUGCCUGAGCUCUGGUGGGAGGUCUACUCUGAGAACUUGGGAGGGCAAACACCUGAGCAAAACUGGGGCUCUGUCAGCUCUGAUGGCCAGGAACAGCCCAAGGCCAACCGUGAGCAAUUAACUCCAUCUGCCACAUGGACUCACCUUGCUAUAGCUAAGAGAAGGGAUCAUUGCAGGUCCAUCACCCACUAGAUGACGAAUAAUGAGGAAUAAAAAAAGAUUUCUUUUAGAAGAGAUUUGAUUUCUAUUUUAAUCCUCUAAUUCCCCGUAAAAACUGGAAAAUACCUUAUAAACUUCAGCUCGAGUGCUAAAUUAGUUAAACAAGGAGACCAUUAGACUGAGGUGGCUCUAACGUCAUGGUGGCCUAUGUAAGCAAACCAAAAUCUAAGCCUUUAAAUGCCUCAAAGUUAUGAAACCAAAACACUAAGAACCACCAAUCACAAACAGCCAACUAGGCUUGGAGCUAUCACCAAUCAAUAAUUUCCUUACCUUGCUCUCACCUUUUCUCUCUAAAACAUCUCCCUGAGCUUCUGUCCGCGGAGCAUGCCUUACCACUUCUGGUUCGGCGUUGCCCGAUUGCAAUCAAUUUUUGCUCAAAUAAACUCUUAAAAUGUUUAAUAUGCCUCAAUUAUAUCUUUUAACAGUUCUCCUGUCAGAAGAGGGAACCAAAGGAGACCCCCGACAGCCCCAGGAACAACAGCAAUGGAGCAUAGGUGGAUGUUUCUGGUGACCAGGAUGAGACCUGCUGGGACACCCCACUCACUCCAGAGCCUGCAGACACCAUCCUGGAAAAACUCGCAGAAGUCAGCAAAGGAAUCACUAAGGACGAAGACUGCUCUUGAACUUCCUUGGAAGGGACCACACAAGGUCCUCCUCACUACCCAGACGGCAGCCAACCUUCAGGGUCUUAAACCUUAGGUUCACAUCCCUCAAUUAAAAAGGGCUCCUCCAGACUCUUGGAAGCGCACACCAGCUGGAGACCUAAAAUUAAAAUUGACUAGAGAGGUUCCUCCCCAGAAGCAGACGGCGUCUUGAGGUGGACAGCUCUCCCAAGAUCAUGGAUCAAGACCUUCAUCUUCAAUAUGAAACCUUUAUUCCUUUUGCCUUUCUGCUAUUUGUUUUUUUCUCUUAACGCAUGGGAAGACAGUGCUCCUUAACUCUGGCAACUAUCACUGAAUGUACUGCUAAAGGCCAUAGUUACAUAACAAAAGUCCCUCGACUUUCUUGCUAAGGUAGUUUUAGAUAAUAGAAUUGCUUUAAUUACUUCUAGCUGAACAUGGAGUCUGUGCCAUAGCAAAUAGCUCCUGCUGUACCUGGAUCAACGCCUCUAGUAUUGUAGCAAAUACAGGAAAUUAACAAAAAAGCCACUUGGCUAAAACAGGUUGAUGCCUCUUCAGGUACAUUCUUUGAUUUAUUUGAUACCAAUUGGCUUGGUUCCUGGGGGCCCUAAGUCUGUUGGUAUUAUCCUCCUAAUAGUUGUCAUUGUAAUCUCCCUUGUGCACUAUGUUCUCUCAGAGAUCUUAAAUGCAUGUUCACAGCCAUCAGCAGUACAUCAGGUGGGCUCAUCGUGCCUGGACAAACAGAAACGAGAUGAACGGCAAAAAACAAUUCUUCCAUGGCUCUGACAUCAUAACCUAUGAGUUUCACAAUGAGACAAGAGCAACUUAACUCUGAUGGUGACUGAGAUUGGCACUAACAUCAAAUUUUUGGUCAAUCUCUCAUGUAUGAAAUGAUGACCAAAAGAGGGGAAUUGUUAAUUAAGCAAGGAGGCCAUUAGACUGAGGUGGCUCUAAUGCUGUGGUGGCCUAUGUAAACAAACCAAAAUCUAAGCCUCUAAAUGCCUCGAGGUUACAAAAUCAAAACUCUAAGGACCACCAAUCACAAACAGCCAACCAGACUUGAAGCUAUAGUCAAUCAAUAAUUUCCUUACUUCUGCCUCUUCUCUAUAAAAGUCUGCCUGAGCUCCUGACAGUGAAGCACUCCUAGCCACCUCGUUUGGCACUGCCAGAUUCCAACAGAUGUUUGCUCAAAUAAACUCAAAAAUUUUAAUACACUUUAGUUUAUUGUUUAACAAGUGACUUCCUCUCUGGAGCUUUUUACGACACUCUCCCUCCUCCUCGGGGGAUGUAAGCACUUGUGUCUGCUCUCUUCUAAACCGGCUUUAUCAGAGCACGUAUGAGGCUUGCACUUGCUUGCAUGCUCCUCUGCCCCUCCUGAAAUGUGUCCUCUUUGAGGCCGGGGACAAUAUCUGUAUUCUAUUCUGUGUGUUUAGGAUCUAGCACACAGGAGGCUCAAUAAAUAUUUGUUGAAUGAAUGAAUGGGGGAGGAGAAAUGAUCCAGAAAUGCCUAAUAUUAAUAACAAGCAUUUACCCAGGACUAAUUAUACGGCAGGCAUUACACAAAGGCAUGUAUGCUGAAUGGACUGAUUUAUUCCUAAGACAGCCCUAUGAAGUAGGAGCCACUAUUAUCUUCACUUUAAAUUUAAGAAAAGUACAUCACAGUGAGGCUAAUCACUUGUCUAAGGUCACAAACUAGGAAGUGACAAGUGUGGCACUGGAUCCCAGAGCCCAUCAUGUUCUUUGCCUUUACACAGAGAGGGAAAAGGAUGCUCCACCCGCAUUAGAGGUGGAGACCUCUCUAGAGGGCCCUAAUCCAGGGGAGAGCUGCAAGGGGUGCUGCCAUUGGUGGGAUUUGUAGCUUUUAGGAUCCUGAAGGCUUUUGCAUUCUUGGACAUUUUACGGGGACAGGGAAAAAAGCAUUUCUCAAGGACUUAAGAAGGGAUGGCAAUGGAGAGAAACAAAAGAUAGCAUCUAAGGUUUUGCUCUAAAAGGUUAGAAUCUGGAGAGAAAACCUCCAUUCACUGGCAAGAAAAGUAAAAACACUAACGCUGGGGCUGGCCCCCUGGCCGAGUGGUUAAGUUUGUGCUCUCUGCUUCACGGCCCAGGGUUGUUGGUUCGGAUCCUGGGUGCAGACCUGCACACCACUCCUGAAGCCAUGCUGUGACAGCAU